rnacentral:lncRNA from 1 species
AAUAUAAUUAUAUAAAUAAAUUGAAUUAAAAUUCGAUCUUAAAAUUAUUUAAACAUCAAUGAAUUAACUCAAUAAUACUGAAAUUUACUUUAGAGCCAUAGAUUUCGAGUUCCGGUAAAUCACAAAGAAAAAAAAAUGCCUAGUUUUGGCUUACGUAAUUGGCAGCCUUGCGCCCUUAAAUUCUUUCAAUUGAAACCAAAAUAGUGCCAAUUUGCAGUACGGACAGCCUCAAUAAAGGAAUUACAUGACUAUGAUUAAUAGCAUAGAAAAAUAGAAGUUAGUGGAAGAACAGAAAGUUAGAAACUAAAAAAAUAUUUGGGUGAAUAAAAUCAAAUCUAAUUUGCCCCUUUGAGGCUGUCAAAUAAAAUGGGAAUAAAUUAAUAAAAUCUAAGCUUUCACAAAUUCUUCAAAUAUUUACUUUUCCCAAAUUUUAACUGAAGUUCGUUAUUUGAUUAAUUAGUUAAUUUAGAAGUUUGGAAUAACAAAAUAUUCUUGUACCAACUAAUGGUGUCUUUAGUGCCCAAGCCUAGAGAAUCUAUAGCUAUCAUAUAUAUUGAAAAAAAUUUUAUAUUGAUAAUUUAAGGUCAUUAUAACUAUUAUAAAUAUUUGUCAUUUUUAUUUGUAGGCUUUUAAUAAUUUUUAAAAUUUUUUUAUGAGAUUUAAUUCACGUUUAUAUCUUAAUUACUUGAAUAAUAAUAAUAAUAAUAAUAAUAAUAAUAAUAAUAACUUUUAAGGUCUUGUGUAAUAUUUUACUUGGAUUUCAAAAUGUAGCUUUUGAAAACAAAAGCAAUAUUGCUAAACACACUAUAGUUUGUGUUAAAAGCAUAUUUUGAUUACUAAAAGUGAGUCAACAACCAAAGUUAAUUGGAAAAUGCCGGUUUGAAAUUUAUAAUUUAAAAAAAAAUUACCAAAGACUCAUUCAAUUAUUUAUCUUGAUAAAAUAACAUAUAUAUUUUUUCAACAUCAUAUACUUUUUAGAUAUUUUAAUUUUUAUAAUAAUAUUAACUAUUCAAAAAUCUUAAAUCAUAAUUUUUUUAAUAUGCCUUUAUCAAACUUUUUUUUCCAACUGCAAAAAAUUUACAAUAAAAAAUAUCCAGUUGCAAUGACGGCCAUAUAUUUUGUGCUCAUGUGUAAACCUCCAGGGCCUCUAUUGUUGGCACGGUAGAGGAGACUUAUGGUUUCAUAGUGAAUUCUCAUCAAAAUUAGAACACAUCUUCAAAUUUGAAGUUCAACCUAACAAAGUUUUAGUUAUGUUUACUUUGAUUUCAAUCAUAAAAAGUAUCAUUCUGUGCUGUACAAUACUCUCAUUACAAUCUCAAAUCGAAACUUAAAACCCGAAAACAUGGAGAAGAAUAUUGAGGUAAUUUAGUGAGCUUAAUUGAAUUUCCUUUUUAGCUAGAAAUCCUUUAUAUUCCACUUCAACUUUGCGUAAACAGAACGGUCCCAGUCUUGAUAAAGUAUUUUUGACAAAAAUUUUUCAAGCAAUUAUUUCUUUAUUUGACAUGAUGAAUGAAAAGAAAACAAAAUUUUGAGUGCAAAUUAAAUUAAUUUAUUUGAGUUGGUGGAGGUGACGUCUAGGGAACUAAUUAAUGAUUGAUUAAUUAAUGGGUAUUUUUUUAUAUAUAAAUUCAGUAGAAAAAAGAACAGUCCGAUAGCACAUAGAAUUUUGGAAGUCAGCAGAAAAUCAAAGCAAAGGAGUGUUUCAUUCAAUUUUUCAACUAGUUUUAGUGAGAGACAAUAUAGAUUUUGUUCAAACUAGCUUAAUCUAAAUAAUGAACAGGCAGAGGCAUAGGUAGAAAAUUGAUAAAAAAAAAAAAAAAAAAAAACCCAAACAAUAAUUAAAAAAAUCAAAUUAAUAAUUAAAUGAGAUUGAUAGAGAUAAAAAAUUGAUGGAGCCGUGGCCCCUACCUAUCUCUCUAGCGCUGCUCUUGCUAACAGCUAAAUCCUAUAUAGUUUCAGUCUUUUCCCAGCAAAAAAGUAAUGGAAAGAUAAGAGGAUAAAAAGAAAAAAUGGAAAUUGAGUUAACAAGGAUCAAAUGUUUUAUUUGUAAGGUUUAAAUUUAAGUUUUAUUGCAAACAAUCGUUCUUAAUGACAAUCUGUAAAUAAAAUAUAAAUCCUCCUUAAACCUACCAUAUAUCCUGACCUUGAAAUGGAUAAUCUCCCUUCAUUUAAAUUUUUUAAUAUAAAAAAAAAAAAAAAGAAGCAAAGAAAAAGCUUUCUAUUGGUUUUGGGGCCCUUAUGUCCCCUUGUUUUCCAAGAUUGGGCCAUGCCCAUUUCUAUGUGAAGAAUAAACAAGGUAAGAUGAAAGCUUAGCCGUGGUGGGCGGAUUGGUUUCCAUAUACGAGUAGCCGCUCUAAUUCUCAACUUCUAUAUAUGCUGCCCAUGCAGCUAGAUGACAAUAAGUCUUUGAUUUUAUAUGAGAAAUCAAUACCAUAUUACGUAAUACGUAAGUCUUUCUU